GCGGGACUAAACGCCGGGCGAGUUGGUUUAAGGCGUACGCCUGGAGAGCGUAUAUCCGUGAAAGCGGAUCAAGGGUUCGAAUCCCUUCCUCUCCGCCA
rnacentral:tRNA from 3 species